CAGCAGCCACGGGAAUACGCAGGUGGCAAGCGUUGUCCGGAAUUAUUGGGCGUAAAGGGCUCGCAGGCGGUUUCUUAAGUCUGAUGUGAAAGCCCCCGGCUCAACCGGGGAGGGUCAUUGGAAACUGGGAAACUUGAGUGCAGAAGAGGGGAGUGGAAUUCCACGUGUAGCGGUGAAAUGCGUAGAGAUGUGGAGGAACACCAGUGGCGAAGGCGACUCUCUGGUCUGUAACUGACGCUGAGGAGCGAAAGCGUGGGGAGCGAACAGGAUUAGAUACCCCAGUAGUCCCUGUCUCUUAUAC
rnacentral:rRNA from 1 species